rnacentral:rRNA from 1 species
UACGGAGGGUGCAAGCGUUAUCCGGAUUCACUGGGUUUAAAGGGUGUGUAGGCGGGCAGUUAAGUCAGUGGUGAAAUCUCCGGGCUCAACCCGGAAACUGCCAUUGAUACUAAUUGUCUUGAAUAUCGUUGAGGCAGGCGGAAUAUGUCAUGUAGCGGUGAAAUGCAUAGAUAUGACAUAGAACACCAAUUGCGAAGGCAGCUUGCUAAAACGAUCAUUUGACGCUGAGGCACGAAAAGCGUGGGGGAUCAAAACAGGG